UAAAAUGACUCUCGGCAACGGAUAUCUCGGCUCUUGCAUCGAUGAARAACGUAGCAAAAUGCGAUACUUGGUGUGAAUUGCAGAAUCCCGUGAACCAUCGAGUCUUUGAACGCAAGUUGCGCCCGAAGCCAUUAGGUUGAGGGCACGCCUGCCUGGGUGUCACAC
rnacentral:rRNA from 1 species